CUCUCUCUCUCUCUCUCUCUCUCUCUCUCUCUCUAUAUAUAUAUAUAUAUAUAUAUUUCAUUUUAGAUUUUGUGAUUUUACUGUUUGGUUAAUUUAAUUUGGAAUUUGGGUGCAGUGGAUUUGGACUAGGGUUGUAUCCAAUUAUUGAUUAGGACAUUGUUUCUUUGUUGCCAAUUGAAUAUACCUAUGAUUAUGUUUGUUGAAUUGCACUGCUCUAAAUGCUUUUCCCCAACUCCAGGCCUUGAAAUUGAUCUAAUUUGCAAAAAAUGAUUCACUCCUUGGCAUAUUAAUUUCUUAUUAAUUUGUAUUCCUUGUGGGUGAUGAUGAGCCAUUAUUGUUCAAUCAGUUGCAUCUUGAUCAUUCAAAUUUUAGAUUGUUAUGUCGAUAUAUAGCUAGCACCGGUGUUUUUGAGGUUGUUCUUGGCGAGCUUUGAGUUCGAACCAAUACAGCUCAACUCAACAUUUGUGUCAACCAUUGGAGUUGCCAUGUCUCGUUCUUGACAUCACGAUAUAUUGGUUAACAAUGUCACUAAUUGAUUUGUUUUUCUUGACAUGUUUCUCUAUCUAGGCAUCGUAAGUAUAUAUAUGGUCAUGAACUCGUUGAAUUUUCUCUGCGUACAAGUAUUGUGUUUUCUGUCCUUUUCUUUGGGGAUGCAGAUAGCUGAACAUGUGCAAGGGGGGAUCGUGAACCACAGAUCAUCGCAGCGUCCCAAUUUGUUACAUUCAAAGAGGUCAGUGAUCAUAACAAUCCUAGAUAUAAAAAGUGACACUUGGUUAUUGAAGAACUAACCUAUGGAAAUAAUGGAAGAAGAAAUCUUGCGGUACAGUGGUAAAUAAUCCAUUCCAAAAGUAUUAAAGUUCUGUCAAUAAAAGUGGCAAGAAAGACUUUAGAGGUCCCAAAUGCUUGUAGGCCUCUCAUUCGGAAGCAGCAACAUAAAUCUCUAAUCAUUCGGAAGCAGUAAAGAAAGACUUUAGAGGUCCCAAAUGCUUGUGGUGGUUUUGUAAACUCAAACAUGAGUAGUUAAAGUGUACACACAAGUCAUAUUUGUGAACUGAUCUUGUUAUGCUAUUUGAGUCCUUCUUGUGAAUUGGUUUGAUACGAGGACCUAAUGUGUUGUAUAAUAUCAUGUUACUGAUGUUUAUGUUGGAGCAAUUAUUUGGCUGAUGGUAUUGUAGGCAUCUGUGAAACAUAUUUAACUUACAGUAAUUUUUUCACAAUAACUUGUUCUUUUUCGGUCAAAGCUUAGCUCUUUUCAGCAAACAGACAAAUAACUAGCAUUUUCCAACGUGUCCUUUUGGUUACUGAAUACAGUUAUGGCACUUUUACAAAAAAAAUUUACCAAACACCUUGUUUUUCUCAAAGCGUUAUUAUAAUACUUUACCAAACACAUAGUUGUGUAUUCCACAACACAGCAUAAACAAUUUUUUUUUAAAGCACAACAAUACUGAACUGUCCCUCAGUACUGUUAAGUAUGUUGACUUAUAUCAAGGUAUCUCCAAUCCAACCAUCAUGGAAAUCAGGACAGAACCUUGUGUAGUACAACUACUAUUUGGUGCACUGGGCAACCUACCCACUCACAUUCCAUUGACUUAUUAUGUGCCCUUCAUGGGGCAAUAAUUGCUCCUUGACCACAAACUUUUGGCUGUGAAAUGCAUAUGUACGUGUUUCUUUUAUAUGUUAGAUUCUUUUCAUAUCUAUUUGUUUCUACACUUACUGGUAUAUGUGGUCAACUGGCACUGAUGAAAUCCUUGAAAUUUGUGCCUUUGACAUAACAUGGACCUUUUUGUUGUGUCAGAUUUUCCAACAGCUUUUUCUGUAGUCACUGGAGAAGCAACAUUAGAAUUAUCAAUGAUUUUAAGUGAGACAUCCAUAUUAUAUUUGAGGUCUAGCCCCUUCCCACAAGUUGUAGUUGCCAGCUCUUUCCCGAUUCCGUACAAAUUAGAGCUGUCCUAGAUUAGUGGAUGUAUGAUAGCAAGAUAUGAUAAUAAUAUAUAUUGCAAGAUGACAGAGGAAAGAAGGUGAAGAUUGUAACUACAGGUGCUGCUUCCAGCGAUAUUCUGGCCCGGGUUAUGAUGCCAAACUGACCGAGCCCCCCAAGAACACUAUGAAAUAGGUCUUCGUUCUGCUCCUCUGAACAAUUUACAACCUCCCCUUUUCCUGCACUCAUUUUUAGUUCAUCUGUUAGUAAGAAUUGAUGUUAUGUGCUCAAUAAACAAAUUUCGUAGAUAUUCUUUUAAAGUUGUAGCCAGGGUAUCUUUCAUGAGACCAGGGUCAAAGUAUGACAUGCUUCAUGAGCAAGUUAGACCUUUGACGUUGGUCUUGUCUUCCAUGGUGAUAUGUCACCAUCACCGUGGAAGCUUCCCUCCCCCGCGCGGGUUUAGUUUAAACAAACCUGUAACAACUUCCAGCUGGUGGACAUUGCUGAUCUGCGGGCCAUGCCGGAAUGCCUGUCCGCUUAUCCCAGCAUUAGACAGAGUACCACCGAUAGUUAGAUGCAAGUAGUCUGUCCAUGAUUUUGGCGCUAACCCAUAUUUCAAGCUUUCACGCAGGAUAUUUAUCCACAAUUCACCUCCAGAGGCAUCCACGUAUGGAGAACUUCCGGUGUGAAUCUGGAUUUGUGGAACCUUGAGUGAUUCCAUAUUGAUAACAACUCCUUGGUGGGCUUGUGACUGGCCCUGGAGUGAGUGACCAUGGCCUCUAGCUGCAACUGUGAGCUCCGAACGAGGACCCAAGUCCCAAACAUGCCUAACAAUAGUGGCUAUGUCUGAAACCGUCUUUGGAUGCAGCACUGCCACAGGAAGGAACUGAUAUCUGUUGCCAAAAUCUCUGGCUGCAUGGUGAACUUCAUGGAAGUUGAAAUGCCCGUCUAGAGGAAGUGUUUUCAACGAAGGGGUGUUUGGAGAACAAAGUAAAAAUUAUUGCUUCUACCUGGAUGCAUCGGAUGACAGUUGCAUAUCAGAUGACGGAGACUGAAGCCUGCCUUCUGGCCGUGGUGGUGUUCAUUUGAGAUUGAGAGGGAGGAAAGUGAUGGGUCCAUGUGGCACGUGAAGUUGAAAUCGUAUGUGCGUUUUGUGGGGGUGAAAUGCUAUGAUUUGUCUCUGUAUUGGGGCCCUUCUGGCUCACUUUGAAUGGGCGAAGGAACACAACUCUUCUGCCCAUCAACAGCUACUGCUAAUAUCAAGCCUCCCAGCAAAUGGACAACUUUGAAUGAUUCCCUUGUUCAUAUGUUUUAUUCAGAAAAUAAUUUCUGCAAAUCUCUUCUCGUUCUGUACAUUCUUGUUUAUUUCUCCCUUGCUUCUCCUUAAUUUAUUCGAUCCAAAUGCCAAAAAUAGAUAGGGGUGUGCAUGGGAUAAAAGUGGCGUGCGGAAAUUAUUUCCCUUUAUCAGCUUAUUCUCUACAACUUGUGUAUUGGAGCAACAAUUGGAAAUUUGCAUCUCUAUGGGGAGCAAGCAAUAUUCCAUCUCCCCUUUCCCUUUUUUAUCGGCAUAUUAGUCCCACUUGUACAGAUUGAUAGAUUACAUUGUAUCCCUUCAUGAAAGUUUAUGCCUUAAUUAAUUUUUUUUUUUUUUU